GGAACAGGACCUGGGGAGAAGAAAGCAAAAAAGAUCUGCAGAGGCAGAGACUCUGAGAGCUCAGAUGAGGCGAUCAGCCGCCCAUCUGCUGCGAGGUUCUCCAGUCUCUCACAAAUGUUUGCAGUGUGAGCAAACAAGACGGAGGCAUGAAGGCCCAUUUGUAGUGGGAAAGUGGCCAGGCCACUGUGUGGGAAGGAGAAUGGGGCCGGGGAAUGGGCAUUCUAGGGAGCAGGGCAGGAGGCCUCUGGAGCUGGAAUCCCAUGUUAACGUUGCUGCCCAUGUUAAUAUAUAAGCCUACAUAGUCUUGUACUCUCACCCAGCAGACACGCAGUAAGUAUAGGCCUCCGCUGUGUGGAAUGUGGAAGUGGAUUGAAGGGAGGGUGGCCAGGACAGGGACGCUGCAGCAGCUCGGGGCAGAGCGGAGAGCCCCUGAACAGGCUGCAGUGGGAGCAUGGAAGGAGGCCGUGGGUAAUGGGGAUGGUCCGACGGAUGGAGACUGCACCCCUUGGUGGCUGACAUGGCAAUGGGUGGGAGGGCCAGGGAAGUGGCUACUGAGCCAGGGAAAGUCAAGAAAGUGUCAGCAGAGAGGUCUAGCUGCUUUCCCAUUCAUGUUCUUGUACUGUGUUUCUUACAUCUGCCUAGGGAACUGCCCUUUGAGAGUUUGUGGGGACCUUUCUCAGAAAAGUACACAUCUGGGUGAACGUUAACACACUGCAUGUAUUUUUAAGGCUUGAUCUCUGGACGAAGAUCUGCUGUUCUUGUUAGGCUGCAUUGAGAACUGUUUUCUAGAGUGACCGCUGGGUCAUCUGCAGAACCAAGAACCAGUGAUAGACAGGUGACUUUUGUGCACACACACAUAGGGGCCCCAAGUCAGUUUGCUCGAUUUUGGUUCAGAUGCAGCACACAUUUCAGGUACCAGAGGAGUCUGUGGUCAGAGACAAGGUAAAUUUUAUAAAGCAGCUAUGGGAAUAGCUUCUGAAAGGAUAUAGAAAACGUGCCUAAUAGGAAAAUUGUGCAUAGAAUGGAAAAUAUGUAAAACUGUAAUCUGGAUGAUUUUCAGCCUGGAAAACUAGUUUUGUGGUAUUUAAAAGCAUUUUAGACUUUUGAUUUCAUAUACGUUUCUAUUCCAUUAAUGAUGGAAUCUAUUCACCACUGGCCUCCUGUUUUCCCAUGACUGUAGGAUAAAAAAAAAUUCCCGGUUCUUAUUAGAGUGAGGCCAGGGACCUUUUUUUUUUUAAGUACCCCCGCUCCGCCCCGCUUUUUUUUUUUUUUUUUUUUAAAGUUUUAAGGUAAUAGCAUUGCAAGGCAGUUUUGGGAUAGUGGCAUGAACAGAACAGAAAAGAAUAAAGGUGGGUUAUGAUGUAUUUGGAGUAGCAGUCCUGCCCCAUCAUUCAUCCUGAAAAAUCUAACAACGACAGAGCGAGACUCUGUCUCAAAAAAAAAAAAAANNNAAAAAAAAAAAAAAGAAAAAAGAAAAGCUCCAGAGAUAAUAUGAAUCCUAGGGUAAUGUUAUGUUCCUCAAGAUUUGAUUUAUAUUUACUUUUGGUAGUUCCAGGUCAUUUUCAUUUGAUCAGGGAUUGAGAUGAUUCAAAGCUGGGCUUCAGCCUUUGAUAUUAGUUUAUUUCUACUUAGUUGUAUUACUGACAAAGCUUGUGAGGGUGUUUCCAGGAACCCCUUUUCCUAGCUGGGUCCUGAUCUUCAAUUUUUGUCUCCUCAGUCACCUGAGUGUGUCAAAAGCUCUGCUUUCAAAGCCCCACAGCCUCCUCUGCAGAAAGGAGCAGCUGUCCCUGCACUAGGAUGACAGCAGCCCUAAAUGUCAGGUUCACCUUCCUGGGUUUCUUUUUCUCCUAGAUCUUGCCCCCCUAAUUUUUAACUACCUUGUUAGCUCUCUGAUGCAUUUAAAUGGAUUUUAAAGAUAUAUUUUGUCCAUGUUUCUUAGUUAUUCAGCCUGGGAGUCAGGUCUGAAUUACCUACUGUACCAUUACCAGAAGCACCACCCCCCUCUCAGCUAAGGAAUUUAUUACCUUAAAUCCAGCAGGCACAUUUAGAAGUCUCUGGAACAGAGAAUUAACAUGAUUGAAUGGUAUUUUAGGAAGAUGACUGUCAGUGGUAUGCAAGACGGAGAGGAGCUUGGAAAGUCUCAGUAAGUAGAACAAUUAAGAGAUCUUCAUAAGUCAGUGCUUUCUAAAGUACGAUGAAGGCAGAGGUUAGAGUGGAUAAGCCUGGGUGUUUCACGUUAGAUAGGCCUCAAUUUAAAUGAGAGUCUUGGCUCUCCACUUACUAGCAGGUAAUAAAGGAUAAUAAAGUCCCUAUGUCCUAGGGUUGUAAGGGUUAAAUGGCAAAACUUGUAGAAAACCCUAGGUUUUUUAUUUUUUAUUUUUAGAGAGGAGCUGUCUUUCUGCCACCCAGGCUGGAAUGCAGUGGUGUGAUCAUGGCUCACUGCAGCCUCGAACUCCUGGCUUCAAGUGAUUGUCCCACCUCAGCCUCCCAAGGAGCUGAAAAGACAGGUGUGUCCCACCACACCUAGCAAGAAAACCCUAGUUUUA
rnacentral:lncRNA from 1 species